UACAGAGGGUGCGAGCGUUAAUCGGAAUUACUGGGCGUAAAGCGCGCGUAGGCGGCUUUGCAAGUCGGGUGUGAAAUCCCCAGGCUUAACCUGGGAACUGCAUUCGAGACUGCAUUGCUAGAGUAUGGGAGAGGGAAGUGGAAUUUCAGGUGUAGCGGUGAAAUGCGUAGAUAUCUGAAGGAACAUCAGUGGCGAAAGCGACUUCCUGGACCAAUACUGACGCUCAUGUGCGAAAGCAGUGGGGAGCAACAGG
rnacentral:rRNA from 1 species